rfam:Danio rerio chromosome 13, GRCz11 reference primary assembly.
GCCGGCAGCUAGCUCUCUGCAACUCUCACAUGGUCGCCCACUGAAGCUAAGCAGGGCCGCGCCCGGUCAGUACCUGGAUGGGAGACAACAUGGGAAAGCUAGGUUGCUGCCGGAA